GUGAACGCUGGCGGUAGGCCUAACACAUGCAAGUCGAACGGCAGCACGGUAAGAGCUUGCUCUUAUGGGUGGCGAGUGGCGGACGGGUGAGGAAUACAUCGGAAUCUACCUUUUCGUGGGGGAUAACGUAGGGAAACUUACGCUAAUACCGCAUACGACCUUCGGGUGAAAGCAGGGGACCUUCGGGCCUUGCGCGGAUAGAUGAGCCGAUGUCGGAUUAGCUAGUUGGCGGGGUAAAGGCCCACCAAGGCGACGAUCCGUAGCUG
rnacentral:rRNA from 4 species